rfam:TPA: Bos taurus chromosome 18, whole genome shotgun sequence.
UCGCUGGAAGUCCAGUGGUUAGGACUCAGCGCUUUCACAGCCGAGAACACAGGUUCAAACCCUGGUCAGGGAA